rnacentral:rRNA from 1 species
GACAGAGGUGGCAAGCGUUGUUCGGAUUUAUUGGGUGUAAAGGGCAGGUAGGUGGCUUUGUAAGUCCGGUGUGAAAUCCCACGGCUCAACCGUGGAACUGCAUUGGAAACUGCAUGGCUUGAGUACUGGAGAGGUGAGAGGAAUUCUCGGUGUAAGGGUGAAAUCUGUAGAUAUCGAGAGGAACACCAGUGGCGAAGGCGUCUCACUGGCCAGUUACUGACACUGAGCUGCGAAAGCUAGGGGAGCAAACAGG